AGGGCACCACCAGGAGUGGAGCCUGCGGCUUAAUUUGACUCAACACGGGAAAACUCACCCGGCCCGGACACUGGAAGGAUUGACAGAUUGAGAGCUCUUUCUUGAUUCAGUGGGUGGUGGUGCAUGGCCGUUCUUAGUUGGUGGAGUGAUUUGUCUGGUUAAUUCCGAUAACGAACGAGACUCUAGCCUACUAAAUAGAUCGUCGGCUUACAAACGCCGGCGAGACUUCUUAGAGGGACAGGCGGUGAUUCAACCGCACGAAACAGAGCAAUAACAGGUCUGUGAUGCCUUUAGAUGUCCGGGGCCGCACGCGCGCUACACUGAAGUGAUCAGCGUGCUUUUUCAACCUACUCUGUCAAGAGUGGGGAACCCAAUGAACCUUCUUCGUGAUUGGGAUAGGGGAUUGUAAUUAUUCCCCUUGAACGAGGAAUUCCCAGUAAGCGCGAGUCAUAAGCUCGCGUUGAUUACGUCCCUGCCCUUUGUACACACCGCCCGUCGCUACUACCGAUUGAAUGUUUU
rnacentral:rRNA from 1 species